UUUCCCUUCAGUAUGAAUUUGCCGCUAGAGGCGCUCUAGAAGCACGAGGUUUUCGUGCAUGGUUAAAACGUGGUCAGUUUUCGUCAUUCAGCUUUGGGAACUCGCACGGUAUACAUGUUAUUUUUCGGCUGGGGUUUACACAAUGGACGACAUGGAGCGAGCCACGUGUUCGGAAGACAUAAAUAACAAUUUAAAGGAAAUUCUGUUUGAAUUAAAGAAACAGCAAGUUGAUAUAACUUCUUUGAAACAGUAAGUUAGUUUACCAGUGUCGUCUAAACAAGACCAUAAUGACAUUAAAUGGAAAUAUGAAGGACACAAACAGCAAUAUGAUUUCAAUUGUGAUGUCCAUGAAGGAAUCAAGCAAUGCAUGUGGGCAAUUGAAAACCAGAAAAGCGACUACGCAAAGGAAGUUUUAUCGGAGGUUGCCAAGAAAAUUCACACGAGAAAUAAACACAUAAGGAUAGCGGAAACGUCAGAAGGCGGGUGGGAAACUGUCAAACAGUAUGAACAGAACCCCCUCGCGAGUGACUCUGAUGACGAGUCGAGAAUCAAUAGGGUGGAUUCUAAAGCUUUAAAGAAAAAGAAGGUUAAGCAGGCGAAGUUAAAGAAAAAGCCAGCCGUCCUGUAUGGACACUCGGACGCACUCCGUCAGUUGCUUGAGGGACAGGCAGGAACACGUCUGGCGCCGUACCCGUUACCACAGAGGCCCACACCACCGUCGAUUGGUUCUUUUCGUGGCUACUCUGGAUGGGGUCCCCAGCUCGGGCCAUGCUUCGCGUGUGGACAGGUCGGUCACAUCCGGCGGACGCGCCCCACCACCAGAGGGCAGCAAGCGAGCGCUCAGGCCAGGAAGUACUGAUGCCACUGAGGCGAGCCCACCCGUGACCGAAAGUGCUGUAUUUAAAGAUGAGUAUUACAUUCAUGAACAAAAUGACAGAUUUACUAAUGAUUAUUUUAUUUACGAGCAAGGUCAGAAAGACAUUAUUGUUAAAAAUAGAUUGAAAGAACAUAUCCAAUUUUGGAAAAACAUUGGCGCCAAUCAAUUUAUUAUUGAUUCUAUAGAACACGGUUAUAAGAUUCCAUUUUAUUCUUUACCCGAAAGCGUAUUGCUUAAAAACAAUAAAUCAGCACGUGAUAAUAGGGAGUUUGUAAGGAAAGCCAUUACAAAUUUGUUCGAUCGGGAUUUGGUAGAAAAAAACAGAUGCCCCUCCUCGUGUUGUUUAAUCCACUUUCUGUAUCCAUUCAAAGUAAUGGUAAAAAGCGUCUCAUUUUGGAUCUGAGAUGGGUAAAUAAACACGUAUGGAAACAAUCGGUUAAAUAUGAGGAUUUGAGAUUAGGUUUGAUGUUUGUUAAAGAAAGGGGAUAUAUGAUAAAGUUUGAUAUACAUUCUGCUUACCAUUUUGUGGAUAUAUAUCCUGAACAUACGACUUACCUUGGGUUUUCGUUUGAAGAUGAUCAUGGUGUAGUUAGUUACUUUAGGUUCAAGGUUCUUGCAUUCGGGUUGAGUGUAGCACCUUAUUUUUUCACUAAGCUUACAAGGCCACUUAUAGCAAAGUGGAGGGGCGAAGGUAAACGAGUUAUUAUGUUCUUGGAUGAUGGUUUUGGUACACAUGAUAAUUAUGAGGAGACGAAAAAGCUUGCGUCUGAUAUAAAGCAAGAUUUGCUUCUUUCUGGGUUUAUCCCUAAUGUAGAUAAAUGUAUCUGGGAACCAGUACAGGAAAUGGAGUGGCUGGGUGUUAAUAUUAAUAUGAGAGAGUUUUCAAUAAGAAUUCCUGAAAGAAGAAUUAGCAAGGCUAUGAAUACCAUCAAGAGUUUAUUGGGCUCUGUAUAUUUGCCAGUAAGAAAGGUAGCUAGUUUUAUUGGUCAAAUUAUUUCUAUGAGUAUUGUAAUUGGCCCUGUAGCUCAAAUAAUGACUAGAUAUUUGAGUAUCGAUGUUGCGAAAGAGUGCACGUGGAAUGCGUACGUUAAGUUGUCAAUCGAUAGUGUAGAGUAAUUGGCAUUUUGGAGAGAAACGCUCAAUUUGCUUAACAAAAGAUUGCUUGUUGCUACUGGCGCGUGCUCAAAAAUAGUAUACAGUGAUGCAUCUGCUGUGUCUUAUGCCGGAUAUGAGGUAGGGACGGUGAAUGGUGUGGCGCAUGGGUCAUGGUCGUCAGAGGAGACUAAAAUGUCUCCUACUUGGCGGGAACUUUGUGGAGUUUAUAGAGUUUUAAAGUCAUUAAUUGAUGUGCUUGCAAGUCACCGCGUUAAAUGGUUUACAGACAAUCAGGGAGUUUGUAGUGUUAUUAAAAAAGGUUCUAUGAAAAAGGAUCUACAAGAUUUAGCUAUCAAAAUAUUCCAAUUAACAGCGAAAAAUUCAAUUCAUUUAGAAGUUGAAUGGAUUCCGAGAGAAGAAAACGGUUUGGCAGAUUAUUUAUCUAAGAUUGUAGAGACGGAUGACUGGGGAAUUGGUUAAAAUGUAUUUGAAAUGUUGCAAAGUAAAUGGGGCCAUUUAGAUGUAGAUGUUUUUGCGUCAGAACAUAAUGCUAAAGUUUUAACAUUCUUUAGUAGAUUUUGGUGCCCUAAAUCAACAGGUAUCGAUGCAUUUACAUUUGACUGGAAUAUGUUUUUUUGGGCUGUACGUUCCUCCUGUUACUCUAAUUCCCAGAGUUUUGAGUAAAAUGGCGUAUUGUAAAGCGAAAGGCGUUUUGGUUGCGCCAGAAUGGAAAUCGGCUAGUUUUUGGCCACUUAUAUGUGAUAAUUCUGGCGACUUUAGUGCAUUUGUUAAAGAUUUUAUCUUUUUGCCUACAAAUAAAGAUUCAUAUACACCAUGCAGAAAUGGUGUUGGAAUAUUUGGUACAGAAAACCUGCGGUUCAGAAUGAUUGCUUUUUUCGUUGAGUUUUAAAGGCUGUACUCGUCAUGUGUAAUUUACCAUAUCAUGAAUAAGGUGUUUCCCUAUAUAACUAAUUAUGUUUUUGACCUAAAUUCAAAAGAGGGAGCACGAGGUUUUCGGGAGCACGAGGUUUUCGUGCAUGGUUAAUGAGUAUGCGCUGAGGUGUACAGCGGUUCUGGCGCUUGCCAUUUUACAGUGACCUGUAACACACAAGGUGUGGGAACGUGCGUGUAAGCACGAUACGAGGUGUCGGUAUCGGCUGUAGUGGUUGUAAUAGAAAUUGGAAUGUAUUUGUCUGUUUUUUAAAUGUGUGUGUUUAUGUUGAAUUUUUUAUUAACACGAAGUUGUCGGUUUACAUAUGUUGUUAAUUUUACUCGUGAAUGAGUAUGCGCUGUUGUGUUCAGCGGUUAAGGCGCUUGUCUUAAUUGAAGCCACAGUGGCUUGUUACACACCAGGUGUGGGAACGUGCGUUUAAGCACGGUGCGACGUGCCGGUAUCGGUUGUCGUGGUUGUAUUAUAAAUUAAUGCAUUUAUCUGUUGUUGUUGUUUUAAUGAGUGGGUUAAUGUUAAAGUUUUUAUAAACACGAAUUUGUGUGUUUUAAUAUGUUGUUAAUUUUACUCUUGAAUGAGUAUGCGCUGAUGGUUCAGCGGUUAAGGCGCUUGUCUUAAUAGAAGCCACAGUGGCUUGUUACACACCAGGUGUGGGAAUGUGCGUUUAAGCCGGUAUCGGCUGUCGGGUUAUUAAUAUACAUAGGGAUGUAUUAGUUUGUUUUGAACUUUUUAUUAACAUACAUUUGUGUGUUUACAUCUGUUUUUUUCAGAGACAUGCAGAUGACAUAAACGCGCUGCCUGACGUCUUGGUGGGGGAGUGUCCUUGCUGCCGGAGUUACUCAAAGAAUCAAGAGCUAUGAACACAUCAGAGGCAUACAGAAGGGGGUUUAAAAGGUGGUGUGAUUGGGCUUUGAGUAAUAACUUAACCAGUGAGGAUACUUUUCCCGCCAAGGCGUUUCAUGUGGCUUUAUAUAUGACAUCUUUAAUUCAAACUGCUCAGUCACCAAGUCCUAUUGUGAAUGCUUUUUAUAGUAUAAAGUGGUAUCAUGACUUGUUGGACUUACAAUCACCAAUCGAUUCUAAUUUAGUUAAAAAUGUGUUAGAGGCUGCUAAGAGGAGACUAAGCAAACAUUCGAAUAGAAAAGAACCAAUUUCUGUAUCUGUACUUGAACAAGUUUUUCACUGUUUGUAUAAAGAAAAUAAUGUGUUUAAUCAAAGGACAAUUUGUGCACUGUUACUUUCCUAUGCUGCAUUUUUAAGAAGUAGUGAGUUGUUGAAUUUAAAGAGAUGUGAUAUUAUUAUUUACCCAAUGUAUAUGAGUAUUUUUAUUCAGUCAUCCAAGACCGACAAGUAUCGGGAUGGAGCAUGGGUGCCUUUAGCUAGAACUGGUACUGUUUUAUGCCCAGUAGUUAAUCUUGAAAGAUAUUUGGUGUGGGCUAAGAUACCAAGUGAUUCAGAAUGUUUUGUCUUCUCUCAACUGUCAAAAACAAAAGAAGGUUUUAAACUAAGGCAAUGUGAUAAACAUUUAUCAUACAGCAAUUUAAGAAAACUUUUAAUUGAUGCUAUCAAACCUUUUGUAAGUGAUAUAAAAUGUUAUGGUUUACGUUCAUUGAGAUCGGGUGGAGCCACAGCGGCAGCUAACAUGGGUAUUCCUGACCGUUUGUUUUAGCGUCACGGACGAUGGUCCAGUGAGUCCGCGAAGGAUGGUUAUGUCAAGGAUUCGAUAGAUGACAGGCUAAGGGUGUCUAAGUGUUUAGUCCCAGGAUGCUGCUCACCAAGGUGGUUGUUAGCCUACAUAGGAUUUUUCGGAUUUGGCGUUGUGUACGCACUGCGUGUCAACCUCAGUGUCGCAGUUGUAUGCAUGAUCAAGACUCCUGUCGCUGAUUUUAGCGGGAAAAAUAACACCUGGAAUACGACAGCCGCUCCUCCGAAUGGCGAAGGAACUUGUGUCGCAGAAAACGAGAAGGCGUCAAACUCGAAUGAUAGGGCCGAAUUCGACUGGGACUCCACCAUGAAAUCUACGUUGCUUGCCUCGUUCUUAUA